rnacentral:rRNA from 1 species
AUGUUGGGGUCCAACUGUGUCCAGAACACAGAGAAGUUGAUAGGCACGCUCUCGAGAGGACGACGAGUGUGUGGAUUGGAUCCCGAAGAGAGGAUAGACCUCGUGAGGCUCGCCAUGGGCUCACAGCAGUUCUACAACGACGGGCUGAUGGCUGCUGACCUUGUUGUCAGGCGGGAGUGGGACGGGUCGGUCACCGUCAAGAGAGUACAGGAGUUCCAAGUAGCAUGCGUUGUCUGGAUCGCCGGGCGUUUUCUUGCUCCGUCCACAAAGCAUGAUGAUCAUGGGUGCUUCGACGACGAGGCUCAACCCAAGCAGCCCCAUUUCCUUCCUCUCCUUCUCGUCCGCGCUGCCACGGUGACCCCUGACAGCGCACCAAUCCGCUCCGACCUCGUCGUUCGCCGACCGCCAUGGUCCAUGCCGCCCACGAUUACCUACUACAAAAUGCUGACACCGAAGCGCUGGGCGAAGAUCCUGGGGGAGAUGUGCGCCGUCUAG